UAGUGUUACAGCUCUUUUCAAAUUUGUCUAGCAGCUUUCCCAGUUUUCACCAGAAAACCCCU
rnacentral:snRNA from 1 species